rnacentral:rRNA from 1 species
AGCGAACGCUGGCGGCAGGCCUAACACAUGCAAGUCGAACGAACCUUUCGGGGUUAGUGGCGGACGGGUGGGUAACACGUGGGAACGUGCCUUUAGGUUCGGAAUAACUCAGGGAAACUUGUGCUAAUACCGAAUGUGCCCUCCGGGGGAAAGAUUAAUAGCCUGUAGAGCGGCCCGCGUCUGAUUAGCUAGUUGGUUGAGGUAAUGGCUCACCAAGGCGACGAGCAGUAGCUGGUCUGAGAGGAGGAUCAGCCACAUUGGGAGUGAGACACGGCCCAAACUCCUACGGGAGGCAGCAGUGGGGAAUCUUGCGCAAUGGGCGAAAGCCUGAAGCAGCCAUGCCGCGUGAAUGAUGAAGGUCUUAGGAUUGUAAAAUUCUUUCACCGGGGACGAUAAUGACGGUACCCGGAGAAGAAGCCCCGGCUAACUUCGUG